UGGGGAAUCUUCCGCAAUGGACGAAAGUCUGACGGAGCAACGCCGCGUGAGUGAAGAAGGUUUUCGGAUCGUAAAACUCUGUCUUUUGGGGCGAACGUGAGUAUGGUGAACAAUCAUAGUCAGUGACGGUACCAAAGGAGGAAGCCACGGCUAACUACGUGCCAGCAGCCGCGGUAAUACGUAGGUGGCAAGCGUUGUCCGGAAUUAUUGGGCGUAAAGAGCGCGUAGGCGGGAUAGUCAGUCUGUUGUAAAGUGCGGGGCUCAACCCCGUGAUGGCAAUGGAAACAGCUAUUCUUGAGUGCAGGAGAGGAAGUGGAAUUCCCAGUGUAGCGGUGAAAUGCGUAGAUAUUGGGAGGAACACCAGUGGCGAAGGCGACUUUCUGGACUGUGUCUGACGCUGAGGCGCGAAAGCCAGGGGAGCGAACGGGAUUAGAUACCCCGGUAGUCCCGGCCGUAAACGAUGGGUACUAGGUGGUGGGAGGUAUCGACCCCCUUUCCGUGCCGGAGUUAACGCAAUAAGUACCCCGCCUGGGGAGUACGGUCGCAAGACUGAAACUU
rnacentral:rRNA from 1 species